GAUCGGAAAAGUUUAGCUCUAGCUGAUUUCCGGACAAACUGCCUGCUCAAACGUGUGCAUGGGGAUUUAAUUUAGAGUCAAUUUUCACUAAGGAAUUAAGAUAAUUUACGUUUAUUUAUCGUCACACUUUGCUAAAGAGAACAUAGCUCUGGUGUCUGGAAAUAAACGUCACUGAACUCAAUAGUAUAAGAACGCUAAAACUAAACUGAAACACACAAAAAAAAAAAACUCAAACGCCUAUGUGCAUCAAACGAAAGCUAUAGCCGACUACCGAUGAUGAAGAAGACCUUCACAAUAUGUAAAAACCCACUACCUGUCCACUGGGGAGAACGCAAAACGGUUUACCUGGUCGGUUUGCAUACUUGCAGCGGAGCCGUAUCUGCAGUAGGUAAAUACCAGAGUGGAUGAACAAGGUGCGAGGGACCUCUAAGAGAUCACCCCUCUGGAAAGAAGUCGCAUGACUGUGUUUCCUGCACUUGUCGUCGUCAGACCAAGUGCAUUUAAAUAGAUUAAAAAUGGAAAAGAGACACAGUUUCUCAAGAAGAAACGUUACUGAGUCAAACAUUUUGAAAGUUUCUGAAUCAUCUCUUAUCGGACCUUUUAUCCUGAAGUGUACAAGGAGGGGACCGGAUUACAUCAUGCAUUACCGAUGAUGCUAUUGGCUGCAAUGAUGGCUUCAGUUCAGUGCCACGUCGAGCGAACAGCAUUAAUAUUUGUAAACUCAUAACCCAGUACAAAGCUCUCAAACUUCGUUUGCACGUUUUCAGAAGUUACAUUUUCAGCAUCAGCAUUUCUGCUGUAUUGAGGUGUUCAUGUUUUUUUAAUUUUUUUUAUUUCACACAGGUCUUUUAACCAAGUGUAUCUGGUUCAAAAUGGAUGAUGCUAAACAUAUAAAGUUACAAAAUUAAAUGUUGGCCAUCUAAAAUUGGUUUUCGGCAGGUAACUUUGUAUUUACUUGCCUCAUUCACAAAUUAAACCUUUUGAACAAAUUCCACCAGUUCCAUUCCCCAAAGAUUCCUGAAAGACUGACUAUUCCUGAAAAAUGUGUAUGUAACUCAAACGGCUUCUAUGUUGUCCUUAUAAUUAUUAUAAUGUCACCAGUAUAUGGUCCUGAGCUACAUGCACUGAUUUCCCAAAGGGAUGCAGCAUGCAAACUCUGCCUCUCGCUUUACAACAGUUAUACACAACCAUGUGUGUGUUUUUUUUUUGUUUGUUUUUUUCGUUGGAGGGGGUGGUGAUGUUAAUGGCAAAAUCAAAAGGGAAAUGCAAAAUCAGAUGGAGUGGUGCUUUAGUGACAAGAAGAAAUAUGUUGGAAUAUGGCAGUAAUUAACUUUCUGGAUGCAAUGCACAACAACCCCUUUCUUGUAAUGACCCCAGGAGAAUUAACUAAUAGAAGGAGAGUUAUGCAGUAAAAAAAUACUAAAAUAUAGUUUUAUCUUCUUUAUUUAAUUGGAGGACCAAAGAUAAAAU